UACGUAGGGGGCAAGCGUUGUCCGGAAUCAUUGGGCGUAAAGAGCGUGUAGGCGGCUCGAUAAGUCUGCUGUGAAAGUCCAGGGCUCAACCCUGGAAGGCCGGUGGAAACUGUCGGGCUAGAGUCCGGAAGAGGCGAGUGGAAUUCCCGGUGUAGCGGUGAAAUGCGCAGAUAUCGGGAGGAACACCAAUGGCGAAGGCAGCUCGCUGGGACGGUAUUGACGCUAAGGCGCGAAAGCGUGGGGAGCAAACAGG
rnacentral:rRNA from 1 species